rnacentral:rRNA from 1 species
GACAGAGGAUGCAAGCGUUAUCCGGAAUGAUUGGGCGUAAAGCGUCUGUAGGUGGCUUUUUAAGUCUGCCGUCAAAUCCCAGGGCUUAACCCUGGACAGGCGGUGGAAACUACCAAGCUGGGAUACGGUAGGGGCAGAGGGAAUUUCCGGUGGAGCGGUGAAAUGCGUAGAGAUCGGAAAGAACACCAACGGCGAAAGCACUCUGCUGGGCCGACACUGACACUGAGAGACGAAAGCUAGGGGAGCGAAUGGG